AUAGAACUGGUCCUGCUCCGAUCGGACACCGUUUGAAAAAGGCGAUAAUCGGACGGUCCAGAUCGCUUGGUGAGAUUUUCGAACUUUUUCGAUUUCUAAAAUUUAAAAAUAAUUUUAUGAUAAUUAUUAACAAAAUUUGGACUUAAUUUAGGUGCGAUUGGAUCGAGGAUAGCUCACCAGCGUCGGGACUGCAUUUUCAGCCAGAUCCGACUGCCCGACGGCCAAUCUCAGAACGUGGUCAAUAUUAUAGUCAAUCCUAGCAUUUUCAGACGUUCUGGACGCGUUCCAGGUGUCAGAAUUGGCAUAGGUGAUCGAGGUCAGCUAUUUUUCUGCAUCCAGCAGCCACAAUAGUCAUCGGUGUACUGCCACAGGAGGAGUUAUUUUACAGAGCAACCUGUUUUCUUCCUCGCAGGUUUAACGUCGAUUAUUUAAUUGUUUUACUAUCUUUUCAAAAUUAAAAAUCUAGAACUCCGCAUGUGUUAGAAUUAGUGUGGACCUUGGUAGAGGUUGUGUUAAUUUAAAUUUUUUUGAUUAAUAAAUGAAGAUUUGUAUGGUAUUUAAACAGUUUGUAAAUGAGGUAACAGGGUUGAGCUGGGCUCCCCUGAUUUUAGUUUCUGAAAAUUUCUGGGCUAAGUUGGCCCGAAAUGAAAUUAUAACAGUUUGAUUUAAA